UACAGAGGUCCCGAGCGCUGUUCGGAUUCAUUGGGCGUAAAGGGUGCGUAGGCGGCGGGGCAAGUCUGAUGUGAAAUCCCGGGGCUCAACCCUGGAACUGCAUUGGAUACUGCCUUGCUAGAGUACUGGAGAGGAAACUGGAAUUUACGGUGUAGCAGUGAAAUGCGUAGAUAUCGUAAGGAAGACCAGUGGCGAAGGCGAGUUUCUGGACAGUUACUGACGCUGAGGCACGAAGGCCAGGGGAGCAAACGGG
rnacentral:rRNA from 1 species